AUGCAGCUUAUUAAGACUGGUCUUGCUGCAGUGCAUAUCUGGUGUACAAAGGCUGCAAAGAGCAACUCGUUGGUUUGUGUAUGUCCUCAGCUAUGAGGUGCUGAAUUCUUUAAAGGGACCACUGAGACAAAG
ensembl:snoRNA SNORA70 Small nucleolar RNA SNORA70